GCACCCUUAGCUCAGUUGGUAGAGCAACUCAUUUACACUGAGAAGGUCGUAGGUUCGAGUCCUACAGGGUGCA
rnacentral:tRNA from 1 species